UACAGAGGUCUCAAGCGUUGUUCGGAUUCAUUGGGCGUAAAGGGUGCGUAGGCGGCGCGGUAAGUCGGGUGUGAAAUUUCGAGGCUUAACUUCGAAACUGCAUUCGAUACUGCCGUGCUAGAGGACUGGAGAGGAGACUGGAAUUUACGGUGUAGCGGUGUAAUGCGUAGAUAUCGUAAGGAAGACCAGUGGCGAAGGCGGGUCUCUGGACAGUUCCUGACGCUGAGGCACGAAGGCCAGGGGAGCAAACGGG
rnacentral:rRNA from 1 species